GGCCCGGUGGCGGAUGGUCCGCACCUUCAUGCAAUCGACAAGUGUUGGCCACGUAUUUAUAGGAGGAUACGCUCGUUCGAUUCGAGCCCGGGCCA